rnacentral:rRNA from 1 species
CGGGAUGGACGUACCGCUGGUGCAUCAGUUGUUCCGCCAGGAGCAUGGCUGAGUAGCUACGUACGGACGGGAUAAGCGCUGAAAGCAUCUAAGCGUGAAGCCCCCCUCGAGAUGAGAUUUCCCAAUUUAGUAAGACCCCUUGAAGACGACGAGGUAGAUAGGUUGGAGGUGGAAGUGCAGCAAUGCAUGGAGCUGACCAAUACUAAUCGGUCGAGGGCUUAUCCUAAA